rnacentral:rRNA from 1 species
UGGGGAAUAUUGCACAAUGGGCGCAAGCCUGAUGCAGCCAUGCCGCGUGUAUGAAGAAGGCCUUCGGGUUGUAAAGUACUUUCAGCGAGGAGGAAGGCGUUGUGGUUAAUAACCGCAGCGAUUGACGUUACUCGCAGAAGAAGCACCGGCUAACUCCGUGCCAGCAGCCGCGGUAAUGCGGAGGGUGCAAGCGUUAAUCGGAAUUACUGGGUGUAAAGCGCACGCAGGCGGUCUGUCAAGUCGGAUGUGAAAUCCCCGGGCUCAACCUGGGAACUGCAUCCGAAACUGGCAGGCUAGAGUCUUGUAGAGGGGGGUAGAAUUCCAGGUGUAGCGGUGAAAUGCGUAGAGAUCUGGAGGAAUACCGGUGGCGAAGGCGGCCCCCUGGACAAAGACUGACGCUCAGGUGCGAAAGCGUGGGGAGCAAACA